rfam:Anopheles farauti strain FAR1 unplaced genomic scaffold supercont2.5, whole genome shotgun sequence.
GCUCUAGUGGCGCAAUUGGUUAGCGCACGGUACUUAUAAGACAGUAAUCGAGCGAUGCCGUGGUUGUGAGUUCGAGCCUCACCUAGAGCA